CUCCUGCAGUGCAAAAAAAGAUGUGGAGCUGUUAGAGUAAGUCAAGAGGAGGAGGGCCAUGGGGAUGAUCAGAGGGCUUGAGCACCUGUCCAAUGAACAGCAAAGGCUGUGAGACUUAGAGUUGUUCAGCACAGACAAGAAAAGGCUCUAGAGAUCACAUAGUGGCUUUUCGGGAGGCCUUUUAAAGGGAGGCCUAGAGGAAGGAUGAGGAGAGACACUUUGUCAGGAAGUGUAGUGAUAAGACAAGUGGAAACAAUUUUAAACUAAAACUAUCUUUUAAACUAAAGGAUUUAAUUUACUUAUUUUACUCCGAGGGUGAUGAGACGUUAGAACAAGCUGCCCAGAAAAAUCCCUCCCCAUCCAUGGAGGGGCUCAAGAGCAGGUUGGAAGGAACUUGAGCAACCUUGUCUUGUGAAAGAUGUCCCUACUAAUGGCAGAGGGGAGAAGAAGACUUCAAGGAGAAACCAUUGCAUAACUGCUUCUAGACUACAGAGCAUGGAAAAGCAGUUCUCAAAGAGAAAUAGGCCUUGGAUGGGAUUCUGAGUAAGACCGGCUCUGUAAGGUUUGCACUUUGAUUCAGGCUUUUAUUUCAUGUAAGCACAUACCUUUGGGAGAAAAUGGCAGCUGGGGUUUGCCUUCAUGUUGUUGAUAUUUCUGUAGUUCUGGGAUAGAGAAAAGCAGGAGUGAGUACAGCACAGUUAGGAUGUCUGGGGGAGAGAGUGGUCCUAACUCCCUGGGAUGCCGCAUGAGACAGAUUUGCCUGAUCAAACUCUUAGCAUUUCCAACAGUCAUUCAGCCAUAAAAACUUAAGCUGUCAAUGAAAAGUACAUGCUGCAGCUAUUCUUUUUCAAGUCCCCAUUGAGCUGUUUGCUUUUUCACUUUUACUUUUUAAUAUAAUUUGUCUUCUGACUUUGCAUGAGGCGUCCAUCCCCAGUCAUUUACCAUGAGUGCUGUGGGGACUCCUGACAGAACGCAGUGAGAGCUCACAACAUCAGUGAGCUGAGGAAGGAGGCAGUUGUGUGUCUUACAACAGUACUUACUUAGGCCCAACUGGAUUUAAAUUACAUGCCAUCAGGGGCUUUGUACAAGGCGUCUGUAAUAGCAGAAACACCUGCAGAGCACUGUUUCAGGAUGACAAAUUUUGUCUUUUUCUCUCUCUGGACUAGCUCUUUCCCUCAUCUAAACUGGAUACUCUUCACUGAAUUGCACAGUUUGUGUUAUUUAUGCUGGUGUAAAUGAAAAGAGAAUGAGAGCUUUUCUUUCCUUCCCUGGGAAAAAUGUUAUAAAGAGAGAUAGCUGUCUGCAAAGCUAACCUGGCUGCAUGCUGUCCAGCCUUCUCCUCUUCAAAGUUCUGUCACCAUUAAGCAAUCUGCUUGGCUUUGAAGAAAUUGAAGCAUAACAUGUCUGUAAAAAGCCAGACCACUUUUCCACUUCUCAUAGUACUGUGUUUUGAAAGGCUCAUGUUUUACAGAAACAUCGAGUGUCAUUUUCUAUUCGGUAUGUGUGAACUUUGAAAUUAAUCAUGGUUUCACUGGAUUCACUUUACGCUGAUGCUAGACCUCCAUCAUUAUUGCACACCAGCAGUAUGGAUUUCAGUAUGUGAAGA